rnacentral:rRNA from 1 species
GACGAACGCUGGCGGCGUGCUUAACACAUGCAAGUCGAACGAAGAGCGAUGGAAGCUUGCUUCUAUCAAUCUUAGUGGCGAACGGGUGAGUAACGCGUAAUCAACCUGCCCUUCAGAGGGGGACAACAGUUGGAAACGACUGCUAAUACCGCAUACGAUCUAAUCUCGGCAUCGAGGAGAGAUGAAAGGUGGCCUCUACAUGUAAGCUAUCACUGAAGGAGGGGAGUGCGUCUGAUUAGCUAGUUGGAGGGGUAACGGCCCACCAAGGCGAUGAUCAGUAGCCGGUCUGAGAGGAUGAACUGCCACAUUGGGACUGGGACACGGCCCAGACUCCUACGGGAGGCAGCAGUGGGGAAUCUUCCGCAAUGGACGAAAUUCUGACGGAGCAACGCCGCGUGAGUGAUGACGGCCUUCGGGUUGUAAAGCUCUGUUAAUCGGGACGAAAGGCCUUCUUGCGAAUAGUGAGAAGGAUUGACGGUACCGGAAUAGAAAGCCACGGCUAACUACGUG